rnacentral:rRNA from 1 species
AGAUUGAACGCUGGCGGCAUGCUUUACACAUGCAAGUCGAACGGUAACAGGCCGCAAGGUGCUGACGAGUGGCGAACGGGUGAGUAAUGUAUCGGAACGUGCCCAGUCGUGGGGGAUAACGCAGCGAAAGCUGCGCUAAUACCGCAUACGAUCUAUGGAUGAAAGCGGGGGACCGUAAGGCCUCGCGCGAUUGGAGCGGCCGAUAUCAGAUUAGGUAGUUGGUGGGGUAAAGGCUCACCAAGCCAACGAUCUGUAGCUGGUCUGAGAGGACGACCAGCCACACUGGGACUGAGACACGGCCCAGACUCCUACGGGAGGCAGCAGUGGGGAAUUUUGGACAAUGGGCGCAAGCCUGAUCCAGCAAUGCCGCGUGCAGGAAGAAGGCCUCGGUUGUAAACUGCUUUGUACGGAACGAAACGGUCCUGGUUAAUACCUGGGCUAAUGACGGUACCGUAGGAAUAAGCACCGCUAACUACGUGCCAGCAGCCG